rnacentral:rRNA from 1 species
GUGCCAGCAGCCGCGGUAAUACGAACUGUGCGAACGUUAUUCGGAAUCACUGGGCUUACAGGGUGCGUAGGCGGCUUUUCAAGUCAGGUGUGAAAGCCCCCGGCUCAACCGGGGAAUUGCGCUUGAAACUGGAGAGCUCGAGUCAGCUAGAGGUGCACGGAACUUCCAGUGGAGCGGUGAAAUGUGUUGAUAUUGGAAGGAACACCGGAGGCGAAAGCGGUGCACUGGGGCUGGUCUGACGCUGAGGCACGAAAGCCAGGGUAGCGAACGGGAUUAGAUACCCGCGUAGUCC